rnacentral:rRNA from 1 species
GUGGGGAAUAUUGCACAAUGGGGGAAACCCUGAUGCAGCGACGCCGCGUGAGCGAAGAAGUAUUUCGGUAUGUAAAGCUCUAUCAGCAGGGAAGAAAAUGACGGUACCUGACUAAGAAGCCCCGGCUAACUACGUGCC